GUCAACAAUCUGGAUUAAAAGUAGAUUUCCUGUUUCUUUGCUAUUAGUUUGAGUAAUGAUACAUUUAGAAUUUAGCAGGCUACUAUAAAGUCAGAAAAAGAAGACAAUACCCAUAACUCUUUACAGAGUAUCCAAAACUGGUGGAAGGGUGAAAGGAAAGCGACCUCAAUCCAGCAACCUGGGAUGAAUGUUUGCAUCACAGCGGUCUCCAAUAAAGAUACCCAAGCAGUCGCCAUAUUGUCUUUAAAGUUGAUCAUGUUGUACGAUCAUUUGAAGAGAGGGGUUUAAACGUUAAUUCACAGCUACUUUGAAUUAAUCUGGCUACAGCGUCGACAUUCUUUUGCAACUAUAAUUGAUGAGUGCAAUAAAUAAAAUAAGGAUACAACUGCUGCUGCUGCUGCUGAUGAUGAUGAUGAUGAUGAUGAUGAUGAUAAUGAUGAUAAGAAGUAGUAAGAGGAGAAGCUGAAGGAAGGGAAGAAGGAGCUGACGAUAAUAAUGAUAGCGAUGCUGUUACUGUAGCUGAUGAUAACGAUGAUGCUAGGGUUGAUGAUGACGAUGACGACGACGACAAUAAUGAUCCUUUCU